UUCAAUUGGAGAGUUUGAUCCUGGCUCAGAGCGAACGCUGGCGGCGUGCCUAACACAUGCAAGUCGCACGAGAAAGGGGUCGCAAGACCCCCGGUACAGUGGCGAACGGGUGAGUAACACGUGGGUAACCUACCCUUGGGUUCGGAAUAACCUGCCGAAAGGCGGGCUAAUACCGGAUGACGACACGGGGUCUUCGGACUUCGUGCCCAAAGCUGACCUCUUCAUGAAAGUUGGCGCCUGGGGAGGGGCCCGCGUCCCAUUAGCUAGUUGGUGAGGUAACGGCUCACCAAGGCUACGAUGGGUAGCCGGCCUGAGAGGGCG
rnacentral:rRNA from 1 species